rnacentral:lncRNA from 1 species
AGAAUCAACAUGAUAAUAUGUGGUAAAUGUGUAUUUAUCAGUUCUGGAUGUUUAGGUAAGUUAGGAAAUGUUUGGAUGGAUUUAGAAGGGAUAACCAUUGUUGAUACAUGAUUUAAAAAUGGAACUUUUGGAAAAAAACAGCAGUGUCAAUAGAUUGACACCCAAGGACAAUCAAUUAAUGUAAAUCGAUUUAUUCUCCCAACUAAUCGAUUGACAUAGUGCCAAAACCAAAAAUUGUCAUUUUAGUAUCCUUG